AUCUAUCUAUCUAUUUAUUUAUUUAUUUUCUUGGAAUAACAAGAGACACAGCAGCAAGGAUAGCUCCUGUAUUCUACCAAGUUUCCUGACCAAUUUCCCGCCUCUCAAUGAAGACACUGAAUACCAGGUAGAAGAGGAACUCAGAUCCCAAAAGUUUGAAUGGAUUAAGAAAGAUGUACAGAUGAGUGACAGAAGAUACUGAAGCUGUAUGCCUGGGUCAACAUUUUGCUCAUCUGACACCUUGAUCUCUACCCAUGCUUGUUUGGCAUCCACAGGGUGAUAGCCUUCCCUUGGGUAUACUAACUUGUGUGUUCUCAAAGCACUAGCAAGAUGCUAAUAUAAAAAUGUAGCAAGUGAGGCCAGGGUGUUACUCUACCAGGAGCCUAUGAUGACACAUGGACUUCUGACAUGAACUUCUUCAACAGAAGGACUACCUACCUGAAAAAUCUAGUCACCUAUGCAUGAUAGUAAGCAAACAUAAUAUGCAAAAUAAAGAGGGACACCACCCUGUGCUAACUGGAACA
rnacentral:lncRNA from 1 species